AUGCAAGUCGAACGAUGAACCACUUCGGUGGGGAUUAGUGGCGAACGGGUGAGUAACACGUGGGCAAUCUGCCCUGCACUCUGGGACAAGCCCUGGAAACGGGGUCUAAUACCGGAUACUGAUCCUCGCAGGCAUCUGCGAGGUUCGAAAGCUCCGGCGGUGCAGGAUGAGCCCGCGGCCUAUCAGCUUGUUGGUGAGGUAACGGCUCACCAAGGCGACGACGGGUAGCCGGCCUGAGAGGGCGACCGGCCACACUGGGACUGAGACACGGCCCAGACUCCUACGGGAGGCAGCAGUGGGGAAUAUUGCACAAUGGGCGAAAGCCUGAUGCAGCGACGCCGCGUGAGGGAUGACGGCCUUCGGGUUGUAAACCUCUUUCAGCAGGGAAGAAGCGAAAGUGACGGUACCUGCAGAAGAAGCGCCGGCUAACUACGUGCCAGCAGCCGCGGUAAUACGUAGGGCGCAAGCGUUGUCCGGAAUUAUUGGGCGUAAAGAGCUCGUAGGCGGCUUGUCACGUCGGUUGUGAAAGCCCGGGGCUUAACCCCGGGUCUGCAGUCGAUACGGGCAGGCUAGAGUUCGGUAGGGGAGAUCGGAAUUCCUGGUGUAGCGGUGAAAUGCGCAGAUAUCAGGAGGAACACCGGUGGCGAAGGCGGAUCUCUGGGCCGAUACUGACGCUGAGGAGCGAAAGCGUGGGGAGCGA
rnacentral:rRNA from 1 species